rnacentral:rRNA from 1 species
CGCCUCUUGACUCCCCAUAAGAGGUCCAGCCUGCCCAGUGACCCACGUUCAACGGCCGCGGUAUCCUAACCACGCGAAGGUAGCAUAAUCAAUUGUCUCCUAAAUAGAGACUUGUAUGAAUGGCAUCACGAGGAUUUAACUGUCUCCCCUCUCUAAUCUGUGAAACUAAUCCCCCUGUGAAAAAGCAGGACUGUCCCCAUAAGACGAGAAGACCCUGUGGAACUUUAAACACAUAGCAGCUGCUCCCCUCCAACCCCCUCCCCCGGAAUCCCCACUCCACGAGCAUUCUAGCUAAAGUUUUCAGUUGGGGUGACUAUGGAGAAAAACCCAUCCUCCAUGAUGCAAACCAAAUUCAAAACCACAAGCUACAGCUUUACGUCUCAGUAAACUGACAUUCAUUGACCCAUGUAAUUGAUCAACGAACCAAGCUACCCCAGGGAUAACAGCGCAAUCCACUUUAAGAGCACAUAUCGACAAGUGGGCUUACGACCUCGAUGUUGGAUCAGGGUAUCCCAGUGGUGCAGCCGCUACUAAAGGUUCGUUUGUUCAACGAUUAAAACCCU